UCUCCACCAACUCGGUUCAUUGACCUACAAAUGCCAGCUUCUCUUGAAUGUUUUCCAUCUCUUUCCCAGACCAUCCACAGCUGGCAGCCAAGCUUUGCAAGUUUUAUUUCCGAAAUGCUUCUCAACUUCUUUCUAGGUACAGAAGACCACCUGCACCAUCUCUUGCUGGGUGAGAGCUACUCUCUGCAGACGUAGUCACAGCUGGUAUUUCACCAGCAGAUGCCAUGAUUCAAUUCCACCAUAAUGACAUUGGGUAGUCUUUGUCAACUCUCCUCCUUGUGAGGAGGAUGUAAAAACACUUCAGAAACAUACUGGAAAUCUUCAUGAGUAAAGAUUAAAAACUACAGAAAGAGAAAAAAGGAGUAAAAAGUCGGAGAACAAGACAAGAAACUGUUAGAAUACUAAAGAAGAUGUAGUAUUCUCCCGCACAGUCUGGACUCCAGCACUGCCAUUUUCUGACCUACUUCCAAUCACUGCUGAGCCAAGCUGGAUCAGUUACAAUUCUGAGGCUGUCCAGCAUCACCCUUCUGCUCUGAUUUGUAGCUGAAGCUCAAAGCUGUCUUUCAUCUCUGCUACCUUACUCUGUGCAUGCAAAAGAGGAGAAGAUUGCUCCAGAGAAUCGGCAACUCACCCAAGGGCAAAUAAAUGCUUUGUGGAAGUUUUCAGCCUCUGUGCGAAUCUUGCAAUUAUAGAGCUGAACUCAAGAUAGAAGAUGGAUUUCUUUUCCUUUAUUCCAAAUCUUACUGAGAAAUCUAGGUAAUAUUAUGCAAAUUGCUUAGGAUAAAAGACAACUUGAAAGCCAGUGGUUUGGGAGAGGGUAUAGCCAGGGAAAGUGCUGGUAUUAGAGAGAGUGAUUGAUCGGGACCAAGUCCUCUGAAGUGUUCUAAGGCAGUCAAACCCAUCACUCUCCCUUUUAGUGCUUUCAAAUAUCCAGUCACUGGGUCUCAGCAAUUUGGGUAUUUUCAAAUACUUGUCAUGGAAACCUAUGUUUUGCAGAAAAGGCCACAGAGAGAAAAAUUCAUUCUUUCAUACAGCAAAUACUUACAAUAUUCAAAAACAAAAAUUAUGAUUCCAUAUAGGAACUAUGAAGUAGGUUAGUAGUCAAAUGUUGUCACAACGUGGAAUAUAGGGUAGUAAGAGUUAGCUCAUGUGAGUCAGCUGGCAGAACUAGGCUGUCAUUAUGAACAGAUAGGCAUAAUGCCACAGCCAAAGGCAAGGCAGGGCGAAUGUGUAGAGUGUGUUUAACAGAUCUAUAGAUCAGAGGAAACUGAGUAACUCUGAGAAAGCACAUAGCAUAAUCAGAGGAUCCAGUUAGAAAGAAUGCCCUAACAGGUUUGCAUCAGGAUUGCAGGAGCAGGGAAACCAGAGGCUGAGACAGCUCCAAGAUGGAUAGAAUCCACAGAGAUAGCCAUGGUGCUUCAGUCUGAGUUUUAAGACCCUCCUAGAAUAUUGGUCACUCCAUUAGGCUAAGUUCAGCCGUGUGCAGGUGUACUGGUGUGGACCAAGUGUUCAUUGUUCACAUUGCUGUUCGAGGAAUGGACUCACACUGCCCUAUUAGAUUAAUGUCUUCUCAUUUGUCUAUAUUAGAGCACAGAUUGAAGAACCAUGUUUUAAACUCUGCCUUUAGAUGCUAACAAAUAGUUGUCCUGAAAAGAUGGUGUUUCAUCAGACUAUCGUGGCUUUCUUCUUUGAUAUUUUAUUAUGUGGAGACACUACAAAUUGAUCAGCUAAGUGAGGGACUAAGGUGUUGGUUAUAUAUGAUCAAUCAUAAGGGCACUUGGAGGCUGGUGGAGGAUGGGAAGCUCAGUGACUACUUCCGUUCUUUACCGCAGCUGCUAAACUAGCUCUUCUCUCCUUGGUGUUUCCACACUCUGUACAUCACAGCUCCUUUGACACAUGCACGGUAUUUGUAUGGUCUCCCUCUUCUCCCCCCUCAUGUAAACACACACAUUGGAUGGUAAGCCAGCAAUUGUGACUAGUUUUUCUGUCUUUCUAGAACUGGGUAUAUUGCCUGAUAUACUGAAAUGUUUUAGCCAAUCAGAAAUGUUACAUGAAUAAUAAAAUGCAGCAUGUGAGCAAUGUAGCUGGCUUUCCUAUUAAUGCUUUAUUCAUGGUAGUUUUUAAAAAUUGAGAUGCUGUGAUGACACAAUAAAGCCAUUGAUUCUUAUUCACUCUCUCUAUUUAAUAGCAAUCUGUUCCACUCAACUUGAUCUCCUGCAAAUGAGUUCCCUAAGCACUGGGCCUUAUCGCUCUAUGCUCUCAUGGUCUCUACCUCUUACUUUAGUAACCUGUUUGAAGGGUGAUGCUUUGAAGCUCU
rnacentral:lncRNA from 1 species